rnacentral:rRNA from 1 species
AGCAGCCGCGGUAAUUCCAGCUCCAAUAGCGUAUAUUAAAGUUGUUGCAGUUAAAAAGCUCGUAGUUGAAUUUCGGGGUCAGCAAGUUGGUCGUGCCACUGGUAUGCACUGGCUUUGCUGAUUCCUCCUUCUUGAAGAACUGUAAUGCUAUUAAUUUAGUGUUACAGGGAAACAGGACUGUUACUUUGAAAAAUUAGAGUGUUUAAAGCAGGCUAACGCUUGAAUACAUUAGCAUGGAAUAAUGAAAUAGGACGUUCGAUCUUAUUUUGUUGGUUUCUAAGAUUGACGUAAUGAUUAAUAGGGAUAGUUGGGGGCAUUAGUAUUCAAUUGUCAGAGGUGAAAUUCUUGGAUUUAUUGAAGACUAACUACUGCGAAAGCAUUUACCAAGGAUGUUUUCAUUAAUCAAGAACGAAAGUUAGGGGAUCGAAGACGAUCAGAUACCGUCGUAGUCUUAACCAUGAACUAUGCCGACUAGGGAUCGGAUGAUGUUAAUUUUUAAUGA